UACGGAAGGGGCGAGCGUUGUUCGGAAUCAUUGGGCGUAAAGGGCGCGUAGGUGGUUUUGUAUGUCUACCGUGAAAGCGUACGGCUCAACCGUAUUUAGUCGGUAGAAACUGCAGGACUUGAGGCUGGGAGGGGCUGGUGGAAUUCCCUGUGUAGCGGUGAAAUGCGUAGAGAUGGGGGAGAACACUCGUGGCGAAGGCGGCCAGCUGGACCAGUUCUGACACUGAGGCGCGAUAGCGUGGGGAGCAAACAGG
rnacentral:rRNA from 1 species